UUAGCUUAGAUUGCCACCUUUCAGCUUGAGUUUCCACAGCUUAUGAAAUCACUCAUUCAGACAUUUAGUGAUAAGCCGGUAGGUUGGGUUCCUGACUUCCUGUGGGAUACUUUUCUCAUAGCUCAGCAUCAGAAGGGCGUCUGACAUGAUCAGUCACUCCUGUGGAUUCCCCCAAACAUACAGCAGUGCUAUCAGAAACCAUGGCAUUAUCUCAGCCUUUUAAGCCUUCAAGGCU
rnacentral:lncRNA from 1 species